rnacentral:rRNA from 1 species
UACGAAGGGUGCAAGCGUUACUCGGAAUUACUGGGCGUAAAGCGUGCGUAGGUGGUUCGUUAAGUCUGCUGUGAAAGCCCUGGGCUCAACCUGGGAAUGGCAUUGGAUACUGGCGAUCUAGAGUGCGGUAGAGGGCAGUGGAAUUCCCGGUGUAGCAGUGAAAUGCGUAGAGAUCGGGAAGAACACCGGUGGCGAAGGCGGAUCUCUGGGCCUUACCUGACGCUCAGGUGCGAAAGCUAGGGGAGCGAACAGG